rnacentral:rRNA from 1 species
AGGGAAUCUUCCACAAUGGACGCAAGUCUGAUGGAGCAACGCCGCGUGAGUGAAGAAGGUUUUCGGACCGUAAAGCUCUGUUGUUGGUGAAGAAGGAUAGAGGUAGUAACUGGCCUUUAUUUGACGGUAAUCAACCAGAAAGUCACGGCUAACUACGUGCCAGCAGCCGCGGUAAUACGUAGGUGGCAAGCGUUGUCCGGAUUUAUUGGGCGUAAAGCGAGCGCAGGCGGAAGAAUAAGUCUGAUGUGAAAGCCCUCGGCUUAACCGAGGAAUUGCAUCGGAAACUGUUUUUCUUGAGUGCAGAAAGAGGAGAGUAGAACUCCAUGUGUAGCGGUGGAAUGCGUAGAUAUAUGGAAGAAUACCAGUGGCGAAGGCGGCUCUCUGGUCUGCAACUGACGCUGAGGCUCGAAAAGCAUGGGUAGCGAACAGGAUUAGAUACCCUGGUAGUCCAUGCCGUAAACGAUGAGUGCUAAGUGUUGGGAGGCUUCCGCCUCUCAGUGCUGCAGCUAACGCAUUAAGCACUCCGCCUGGGGGAGUACGACCGCAAAGGUUG